rnacentral:rRNA from 2 species
AUCAGAAGUGCGAAUGCUGACAUAAGUAACGAUAAAGCGGGUGAAAAGCCCGCUCGCCGGAAGACCAAGGGUUCCUGUCCAACGUUAAUCGGGGCAGGGUGAGUCGACCCCUAAGGCGAGGCCGAAAGGCGUAGUCGAUGGGAAACGGGUUAAUAUUCCCGUACUUGGUGUUACUGCGAAGGGGGGACGGAGAAGGCUAUGUUGGCCGGGCGACGGUUGUCCCGGUUUAAGCGUGUAGGUGUGUGUUCCAGGUAAAUCCGGUUCACUUUAACACUGAGGCGUGAUGACGAGGCACUACGGUGCUGAAGCAACAAAUGCCCUGCUUCCAGGAAAAGCCUCUAAGCAUCAGGUAACAUCAAAUCGUACCCCAAACCGACACAGGUGGUCAGGUAGAGAAUACCAAGGCGCUUGAGAGAACUCGGGUGAAGGAACUAGGCAAAAUGGUGCCGUAACUUCGGGAGAAGGCACGCUGACAC